AGCAGCAGAAGCAUUCCAGAAGCGUCGUACUUCCUUCUGGUCUUAGCUCCCCAACCUCUCUUUGUGAGCGGGCUCACAGACAACAGCUGGCACUCAAAUGUGGGACUCCCAUAUACUGGAUAAGUAUUGAAGCUGCAGGAUUUGCAAGAGUGGAGGUUCAUGACUGCCACUUCUUCGUGACUGUUCAUCAUCACAGAAGCAACAAAACGGAGAUACACAACAGAAUAUUCCUGUACACAUAGUGAAGAAUUCAUACCUGGAACCUGACUGUGAGGUGAAACAGGGCCAGGCUGUGCUGACAUUGAAGGCUCUGUCUCCAGGAAUAAUCUAGUUACUUCCCUCUAGACUGAGUGAUUUGUCUUCUGGAUUUUCUGCCACAGUACAGCUACCUGGAGUAAAUUUGGCUUGCAGAGUUUGAAUGAUUCAGCUAUCUAUACUGAUUCUUACCAUCCUGCGCUACGUAUUACAAUCACCAGCUCCACAGAGCUGCAAUACUCUGGACCCAGAUGACUUCAUUGAAAAGCCCUGGCAUCACAGGAGAAGUAUACAGUAGACCCUCAAGGAAGAACCAUGUUUUUGCCCAGCUGAAGUGAACUGGAACCACACAGAAGCUAAGGAAGAAGAUGUGUGUUCACUUGAAGAUGGUGGCCAGGUCUAUCUUUGAAAAGAUUUAAUACAGAUAAUUCAGUGGAAGAAGACAGAAUCCUAGUUGUCCUGAUUACAUACAAGAUGAUACUCACUGCUCCCUCUCUGAACUGCAGAUUUCCCUCACUGUCAGUCAGGAUGGUGACUGCUUUGGAGCAGCAGAUUCACCUAACAAUGAGCUACAGGGAACCCCUGGGGUCAUUGCCACUCUCAGUUAAUGACAAAUUCUGAGCACAGUGAUAAUCAUCAGCAAUCAUCUAGAAGCUGUCUUGGAAUUAUUUUAUCCUUUCAGUUGGGAGUAGUCAUUAGCAAUAUUUCCAAAGAGGCUUCAGAAAAAUAACAUAGGAUUCUGGGAAACCUCUUCAUAUGAUUUAACCAUAUGUUCUAGAGUUGCUGGAUGCAUAGCAUAGAUUGCUGCAUGGCUUUUUAGACAUGGGAUAUCUAGUAAUACCCUAGCCUUGAAGGAAAGUUUUGAUAUAAUUGUCACUUGGUAUCCUGCACUCUGGUACUCUGUCUGGUAUUCUGUCUCCAGCAAAUUCACUAGCACAGCUAAAAGUAUCAUACAGAUUAGUUCUCUUCUGUAGAAGGUAUGGUUUUGCUACAGAAUCUUGUACGUCUAAGUGGAUUCUACUGUUGGCUUGCUCAAAAUUCAACAUGAUAUCAGUGAUCUCCACAAAACUACUGAAUCAGGUUUUUCACCUUGGGAAACUCUG